rnacentral:lncRNA from 1 species
CAUUCUGAGGUGCUAGGAGUUAGGAAUUUAACAUGUUUUUUUUAGCGGGAGACAGGAAGGGAGACACAUUCAAUGCAUAAUGGAGAAGAAGUUUUAUGAUGGAAACAGUACAUGAAGUUCUUAGCUGCUCAUUAGGCAUUUAGUUUAUGGUUAUUUUAAGUUUCAUAUUGCUAUAUGUUUAUUUCCUACUUCAUUUUACAGAGGAUUGGACACAGCUUGAAGAAACACAUACAAUAUUUUGGGAUGAAAUUCUGAACAGGCAGGAAUAUUUUUUAAAAAUAUUCUUUAUCCAAAACUAUGUUUUCAAAAGGU